rnacentral:rRNA from 1 species
GAUUAACGCUGACGGCGUGCAUAACACAUGCAAGUCGAACGAUGAAACUUUAAUGAACCCUUCGGGGAGAAUUAAAGCGGAUUAGUGGCGAACGGGUGAGUAACGCGUGAGUAACCUGCCUUACACAAGGGGAUAGCCUUUGGAAACGAAGAAUAAUACCCUAUAAAACCAUAAAAGCACAUGCAAUUAUGGUCAAAGUGAUAGCGGUGUAAGAUGGACUUGCGUCUGAUUAGCUAGUUGGUGAGAUAAAAGCCCACCAAGGCAACGAUCAGUAGCCGGCUUGAGAGAGUGUACGGCCACAUUGGGACUGAGACACGGCCCAGACUCCUACGGGAGGCAGCAGUGGGGAAUUUUGCACAAUGGGGGAAACCCUGAUGCAGCGACGCCGCGUGAUUUAGAAGGCCUUCGGGUUGUAAAAAUCUUUUGUAUAGGAAGAAAAUGAGAGUACUAUACGAAUAAGGUCCGGCUAAUUACGUG